AUUGAACGCUGGCGGCAGGCCUAACACAUGCAAGUCGAGCGGAUGAAGGGAGCUUGCUCCUGGAUUCAGCGGCGGACGGGUGAGUAAUGCCUAGGAAUCUGCCUGGUAGUGGGGGAUAACGUCCGGAAACGGGCGCUAAUACCGCAUACGUCCUGAGGGAGAAAGUGGGGGAUCUUCGGACCUCACGCUAUCAGAUGAGCCUAGGUCGGAUUAGCUAGUUGGUGGGGUAAAGGCCUACCAAGGCGACGAUCCGUAACUGGCCUGAGAGGAUGAUCAGUCACACUGGAACUGAGACACGGUCCCGACUCCUACGGGAGGCAGCAGUGGGGAAUAUUGGACAAUGGGCGAAAGCCUGAUCCAGCCAUGCCGCGUGUGUGAAGAAGGUCCUCGGAUUGUAAAGCACUUUAAGUUGGGAGGAAGGGCAGUAAGUUAAUACCUUGCUGUUUUGACGUUACCAACAGAAUAAGCACCGGCUAACUUCGUG
rnacentral:rRNA from 1 species